GAUGAACGCUGGCGGCGUGCCUAAUACAUGCAAGUCGAGCGAACGGACGAGAAGCUUGCUUCUCUGAUGUUAACGGCGGACGGGUGAGUAACACGUGGAUAACCUACCUAUAAGACUGGGAUAACUUCGGGAAACCGUAGCUAAUACCGGAUAAUAUUUUGAACCGCAUGGUUCAAAAGUGAAAGACGGUCUUGCUGUCACUUAUAGAUGGAUCCGCGCUGCAUUAGCUAGUUGGUAAGGUAACGGCUUACCAAGGCAACGAUGCAUAGCCGACCUGAGAGGGUGAUCGGCCACACUGGAACUGAGACACGGUCCAGACUCCUACGGGAGGCAGCAGUAGGGAAUCUUCCGCAAUGGGCGAAAGCCUGACGGAGCAACGCCGCGUGAGUGAUGAAGGUCUUCGGAUCGUAAAACUCUGUUAUUAGGGAAGAACAUAUGUGUAAGUAACUGUGCACAUCUUGACGGUACCUAAUCAGAAAGCCACGGCUAACUACGUG
rnacentral:rRNA from 1 species